rnacentral:lncRNA from 1 species
UCCCGCAGGCUCUUCCUCUCCCAAUCUAGUCGGAUCCAGUGGAUUAUUUCCAAACAAGCCCUUAAUGUCUGGAAACUGCUUAGGAAAAAAUUGAUGGGAACUUGAAGUACUAACUGAAUGGAAAAUACUACCUUGGGAAGCACCUCUCUGUUAAAUCCGGGCAUAAGGCUUGAUCCACUAAAAUUGUAGCUAGUGGUGCAUCAAAUGUGUU